rnacentral:rRNA from 1 species
AGAACGAACGCUGGCGGCAUGCCUAAUACAUGCAAGUCGAACGAGAUCUUCGGGUCUAGUGGCGCACGGGUGCGUAACGCGUGGGAAUCUACCCUUGGGUUCGGAAUAACAGUUGGAAACGACUGCUAAUACCGGAUGAUGACGAAAGUCCAAAGAUUUAUCGCCCAGGGAUGAGCCCGCGUAGGAUUAGCUAGUUGGUGAGGUAAAGGCUACACGAAGCUACGAUCCUUAGCUGGUCUGAGAGGUAUGACUCACGCCACACGUGGGACUGACGACCACCGG